UACGUAGGUCCCGAGCGUUGUCCGGAUUUAUUGGGCGUAAAGCGAGCGCAGGUGGUUUAUUAAGUCUGGUGUAAAAGGCAGUGGCUCAACCAUUGUAUGCAUUGGAAACUGGUAGACUUGAGUGCAGGAGAGGAGAGUGGAAUUCCAUGUGUAGCGGUGAAAUGCGUAGAUAUAUGGAGGAACACCGGUGGCGAAAGCGGCUCUCUGGCCUGUAACUGACACUGAGGCUCGUAAGCGUGGGGAGCAAACAGG
rnacentral:rRNA from 1 species